CUGACCCCCUUAUAGCCUGCCCCUGCCCCUCACUCCAGCCUUCACCCUCCUAUUGUCUGUGUCCAUAGGUUAUGCAUAUGUACAUAUGAGUUCUUUGGUUGAUCUCUUCCCACCCACUCACACAUCCACCCCUUCCUUCCCUCUGAGAUGGAACAAUCCGUUCCUUGCUUCUAUGUCUAUGCCAGGCCCUUUAUGCUCCUGGUCUGGCGGAUUCUUGCCCUGCGCAGUUCCGCCAAUGCACUUGUUGGCUCUGUGCUUUGUGUUUGCUGCCUUUGAGUCGCAGACAAAAAUAAAAAGGAAGUUCAUUUUCAAAUUCAGGAGAAGUUAUUAAAAUUGUUUAGCAAGAGCACUUCCUCUAUGAUUUGUUAAGCAACUGAAUGACAUGGGCCAGCUUUUGUUUGGAGUUCAGACCCAUUUCUGUAAAGAAAUUGCAAGUGUGAGAAAAUAACAAUCCUAUCAACAUCAGAGACUUCUAAACAUAUUUUUUAAAAUUUCAGAAAAGUCCUUAACAAAUCAACUGAGGACCUAAAACAAGUGCUUCAAAAACUUCUGCCCAGGAAAUGAAAUAUUACAAUGGUCACUUGUGUUGCAUAGGGUAAAUGGACCAGUAAGAGUUACAAUAUUAUUUUUUUAUUUUUCAAAUACAUUUUUUUUUUUCUCUGAAGAACUUACCAUUUUGCAUGUGGAGUGUCCUGGUGAAAUGAGGACAGGAAAUGAGAGGCUGAUGCCUAAAGACAUUUAAGGGACAGAGAGUAAGGUCAUCCAGUGUGUCACCAUCAGUAUUGGAGCUGGAGUCUCCUCACCCCACAUCCUUCACACUUCUCGAGGUGAAGAGUGUGGAGAGGGUUCUAUUUUUGCCUCCACCUCUUAUGAAGCAGUCUGGCCAGGGAAAGCCAUUUAGCAUUUUUUUUGAGGGAUCUCAGUUUGUGAUCUCUAAAAUGGGAAUAGCAGUAUCAUGUAUCCCAUUGAAAUUUU